GGGAUGGGUACACCACUGGCAGUCAGGGAAGACUUCCUGGAGGAGAGGGAAGCUAUGCUGAAGAAUCAUCAGGAAGCAGGUUGGUAUGUUCUAAGCAUCCUGCCCUGCACUCAGGAUUAGAGAUGAGGCCAGUGUUCUGUCUGUCACCCAGGAGAGGAGAGGGGAAGGAAGUCCAUCCAUAUUUGUGUGAGGCACCCAAGGACAGGGACCAAUCCCUUUGGCAACUUACUGAAAAGCUACAAGAGCAGACAGUGCUCAGAACUGCCUGACUCAUGGUGGUGACCCUCCAGACUCUUGGUGGCAAAGGUAAGACGCAGGUCCGGGCUGCCUGGGCUCCGGGUCUGAGGUCACAUGGCCCACGGAUGGGUGGGUCCAGACCUGGAGUAGGCAGCCGGAAGCCCUCUCCUGCAGGGAUCCAGGCAUGUGCCACCACGACUUAACGCUUCUGAUCUCGACACUCCACUACUUUCUUCGGAGACCCACUUGAGCUGCCCUGCUGUCUGAAUGGAAGCUAGUUUUCACUCUUAGCAUUCAGUGAGAGCAACCGUAACAAACAGGAUGGACUGCCUGCCGCGAGAGCCUGCUCCUCCAGCUAGAUAAAAAGGGUGGCGCAGCCGGCACAGGGAGGAAGGAGUUAGAUACACCGGCUCCCGCGAAGCCGCCUCCUGGGCCCAGUGCCCAGGCCUGAACUUCAAAGGGGACAACUUCAGAGGCCGGCUUAGAAGUUCACACCCCCCCCAUUCCCAUCUUCUCCAGGGCAAAGCCUUCCCCACAGAAAAAUCAUUUUUAAAAGGAGCAAAUUGACCCCUCCAUUGAGAACAGGUCUCAGGACUGCCAUGCCAAAGGGAAAAUUCCAGCCACAAAUACAACGUGCCUCAGGAUUUCAUUUUCACAGAAUGACAAAAAGGGAUGAAGACGCUGAUAGUCCCCCUCUUAAGACUGUUGGGAGAAGUCUUUGACACGACUGUGGAAAGGGCCUUUACUUAGUGCCUGGUGCACAAAGAGAGUGAGUGUGUUAUCUGGGAUGUCUCCAAGGUGUCUUAUCCAAGGCCCCAGGUUCAGAGCAGCCUCCUGAUAGCACUUCAUCUGGAGGGCCUCAUAGUUCCUGCAAUGUUCCUGUGGCUGGGUCUUCUUCAUUCACUUACACCUCCGACUCUGGCUUCACAGAAACUGAGUUUGUGACUUUUGCUUUAUGGGUUCUUGGGUAAGAGAAAAAUGUUAUGGAAGAAUCUUUUUGUACACUGUGAAGAUGUGUCUUUGCCAAGGCGCCUUCUGACUGGAUUAAUGAAGAGCUGAUUGGUCGAUAGCUAGGCAAAAAAGAUGUUAGCCAGGAGAGCCAAAUUGAGAGGAUGCUGGGAAGAAGAAGGGUGGGGUCACGGGGAGUUGCCAGGAGUCCCAGAGAGAAGCAAGAUGAACAUGCCAUGCUGGAAAAAGGUACUGCCACGUGGUAGAGCACAGAUAAGAAAUAUGGGUUAAUUUAAGUUGUAAGAGAUAGUUAGUAACAAGCAUAAGCUAUCGGUUGAGCAUUUAUAAUCAAUAAUAAGUCUCUGUGUGGUGAUUUGGGAGCUGGCGGUCCUGACGAAAACCUCCACCUACAGAAAAACACGUUACUUCCCCCUUUAAGUCUGACAGAGGGUGAGGAGUGCUGCAAAAGGCCUGCCCACCAUUAACCAUGUGUUCAUUUGAAGCAACUAAUAACGUGUGUGCAGAUGUAUGUGGUGGGAUUGUGUUCCCCAAAAUAUUGUGCACCCUAAUAAACUUAUCUGGGGUCAGAGAACAGAAAAGCCACUAGAUACAAAGGCUAGAAAAUGGUGGCACUCACACCUUUAAUCCUAGCAUUCCAGAGACAGAAAUCCCUCUGGAUCUCUGUGAGUUCAAGGCUGCAUUGGAAAUAGUCAGGCAUGGUGACUCACACCUUUAAUCCCAGAAAGCGAGCCUUUAAUCCCAGGGAGUGGUGGUAGAAAACAGAAAGGUUUAUAAGGCGUGAGGACCAGAAACUAGAAGCAUUUGGCUGGUUAACCUUUUAGGUUUUGAGCAGCACAGUUCAGCUGAGACCCAUUCUGGAUGAGGACUCAGAAGCCUCCAGUCUGAGGAAACAAGACCAUCUGAGGAUCCAGCGAGGUGAGAUAGCUGUGGCUUGUUCUGGUUCUCUGAUCUUCCAGUUCACCCCAAUACCUGGCUCAGGUUUGAUUUUAUUAAUAAGAACUUUUAAGAUUCCUGCUACAGAUGUACACACUCAAGUACAGGUGUGUCCAGAAUACAGCAAACGAGAGUGCCCCUCUUCCCUCUGCCUCCUGUUAUCCUCCACUGUUAGCAGAAACUCCUGUCUAUAAACUCUGGGCCACAUGGGGAUGACAUCCUUCCGUCAUGCACACACUUGAUUGUCAGCAUGGCUUCUCAUCAGUAAGAGAACUUUCCAGCACACAUUUGUGCACAGAGGAUGACACCAAACAACUAUGAAUUAGUCUGGAAAUUUUCAAAAUAUUCCUGAAGCAAAUAUGAACAGGCCACAAGUAGGGGCUAAGGUCAGGAGGCACUCAGUUAAUCACAUCAGGUGACUUGUCAUCUGGACUCAGAUUUGGAGGGGCUGAUACAGUAACUGUGCUUUUUGUUCCUGGUUUUGAAACAGGGUCUGGCUAGCUUGGGCUAGCCUCAAAUUUACAACCUUCCUUGCUUUGGUUUCCCAAGUAUUGAGAUUACAGGCGAGAGACACUGUGCACAGCAUGACUUCAUUUUGACAACUCCCCACCUUGUAUCUGAACAAUAUUCUCGGAAGACCUCUCUAAUUAGCCAUCUGGUGGUUUGGUCUCAAUUGUCCCUCUUGGCUGGGAUGAGAUUUGUCCCAGUCGGUUUGAUCUGAUCACACACUGGUGGGGAGGGUGUCAAGUGACAGAUGUUAAGGAGUUAGUGCCAAUACAUCCCUUGAUAAAUAAAUAGCUAAAAAGGUAUUGGGGGGGGGAUCAUAGGUUGAGCGCACCUGGGAGUCCUAAAAAGGUAUACAGGGGGAAGAUCUUAGGCUGAGCCCACUAGGGAGUCCACUGUUGGAUUUAAUAUUGUCUGCCUUGUGGAUGAUGUCCUCAAAUCUUAAAAAGCACAGGCAUUCUGCUUCUACAGAUUGCCAGCAGAUAAUAGUUCAAAGUUCUGUAAGAAUACAAAACAGCCACCAAGUUCACCAAUUGUUUUUAGAGAGGAACUGUGGUGGUAUUGUGUUCCCCAAAAUAUUGUGUACCUUAAUAAACUUAUCUGGGGUCAGAGAACAGAAAAGCCACAAGAUACUUAGGCUAGAAAAUGUUAGCACAUGCCUUUAAUCCUAGCAUUCCAGAGACAGAAAUCCCUCUGGAUCUCUGUGAGUUCAAGGCCGCAUUGGAAACAGCCAGGCAUGGUGACUCAUGCCUUUAAUCCCAGAAAGCAGCCUUUAAUCCCAGGGAGUGGUAGUAGAAAACAGAAAGGUUUAUAAGGCAUGAGGACCAGAAACUAGCAGCAUUUGGCCUGGUUAAGCAUUUGGCCUGGUUAAGCACUUGACUGGUUAAGUGUUCAGGACUUCUAGCAGCAGUUCAGCUGAGAGCCAUUGGGAUGAGGACACAGAAGCUUCCAGUCUGAGGAAACAGGACCAACUGAGGAACUGGCAAGGUGAGAUAGCUGUGGCUUGUUCUGUCUCUCUGACCUUCCAGUGUUUACCCCAUUACCUGGCUCAGGUUUGAUUUUAUUAAUAAGAUUCUCUAAGAUUCCUGCUGCAUCUGGCGCCCAACGUGGGGCAAGAGUUUCCACCUAAAACCUGAGAAAAAAGAUUCUAAAACGGAGCUUAAAACAGUUCCUAGUUGUCUCUUUCAAGUUAGCGGCAGCCUGCCGGUUUGAGCUACUGGCGGGUUCCUAGCAUGCGCGCUCGACCUGCUGCCGUAUGGCGGGAAUGAGGCCUCUCCAAGUGGCACAUUAAGCUGUGUGGUGGAUUUAGCCUUUGCUAGUACAAAACAAAACAAAACAACAAAAAAAAGAGGUUUCUGGGCUACACGCUGCUUUGAUAGAAGCAUAGACCCACUAUUUCUGAGAGUUGAUGGCUCCCAGAGCUGGCGGAAAACGUAUCACUGCCAUGUUGGGAAGCUGAAGUGGGCGGAGCCAGCAGCCACAGCGCCAGCGCCGUUUCAGGCUUAGAAGGCUACAGUUCAAAGCAAUAGGCUCAAGCUAAUAUAAAAAAAAUAAGCCACAUAAAGAUGACUACCACACAGAGAAUCUGGAUUAUGUUCUCUUUGAUAUUCGUAACUAAAGAAAAACAUUUGAUUACAAAAGCUGUUGAGUUAUGCCAAAAUGUAUAUUUUAAAGGUACCUUGACUUCAAAAUUUGGAUGUAAGCAUAUGUUGCUUUGGAAAGGAGGCUCUGCUUUUGUUUCUACAGAAAGCCAGAGGCUAUGGAUUUGUUCCGGAUUAAGACACAUCAGGUUUGACCAGCCAAGACCACCUGAAAGGUCUCUGAUGACACCAUGGCCCAGAUGAUCCAACAUCCAGAACCAUUUCAAGGCAACUGGCUCAGACGAUACACCCUCAUGGACUACUCCAUAACCCUAAAAUAUUCUUUGUGUCCCCAUAAGAUACAGCGCCCCCCUCCAGCAGGAAGUAGUAAGAGAAGCUACGCCCAAAUUCCCAAAUAUACCAAGCUGACUUUGGAGAUGUGUAAAGGUUAAAACCUUCCUUUUUAAGAAAAGAAAAGGGAAGUGCUGUGGGAUGGUCUGUAUGUCAAAUGUGUUGCUGAUUGGUCAAUAAAUAAAUCACUGAUUAGCCCGUGGCCAGGCAGGAAGUAUAGGCGGGACAAGGAGGAGAAUAGAGCUGGGAAGUGGAAGGCUGAGUGAGAGAGACACUGCCAGCCGCCAUGAUGAGAAACAGCAUGUAAAGAUGCCGGUAAGCCAUGAGCCAUGUGGCAAGGUAUAGAUUAAUGGAAAUGGAUUAAUUUAAGCUGUAAGAACAGUUAGCAAGAAGCCUGCCACAGCCAUACAGUUUGUAAUCAAUAUAAGUCUCUGUGUUUACUUGGUCGGGUUUGAGUGGCUGUGGGACUGGCGGGUGUCAGAGAUUUGUCCUGACUGUGGGCCAGGCAGGAAAACUCCAGUUACAAGGAACCAGGCUGUGGAGGACAAAAGACUCAGCCCACCACCUGUGUGGUCUCUUUCUCUCCCCUUCCAUGCUAGGGGCAGAAGCCAGGGCUUAUUCUCCACCAAUCCUUAUUUCAUACAUGAGGAACUGAGGCUUGCACAAUGCAGCCUCUUGACUGAGAUCCCUCAGCAGGAGUGUCAUCAGCAAGGGAUUAGAAGUUGGGCUCAGUUCCUUCCAUCUCUGAGGAGGAAGUGCGUGGGGAAUGUGGGAAGAGGGCUGAUGUGCUUCCUAGUGCUCUAAGUCUCUCUGAAAUCGAGGAACCAGUUCUCAGUGCUUUGAGGAUUGGCUGUCAGGGGCCCCUGAAGAGUCGGGCCCUUCCAGGAAGGGUUCCAAGCUGCCUUUCUGUCGGGCUCAUGGUCCUCUAGCGGAUUGAUCAGUGAAGCGCCACCAACCACUAUUAAUACCCUGAGACCUCUGCCAUCAUCAGUCAGGAGAAGUGGUACCAGGGGCUUUUGCUUAUUAUGUAUGAACAUUACAGCUACGCUGGCCUGUUCUCCCUGCAUCCCAGAACCAGCUA